UGAGGAAUCUUCCACAAUGGGCGCAAGCCUGAUGGAGCGACACCGCGUGAAGGAUGAAGGUCUAACGAUUGUAAACUUCUUUUCUGAGGGAGCAUAAUGAGAGUACCUCAGGAAUAAGGGACGGCUAAUUACGUGCCAGCAGCCGCGGUAAUACGUAAGUCCCAAGCGUUAUCCGGAAUUACUGGGUGUAAAGGGUUCGUAGGUUGUAAGAUAAGUUGGGUAUGAAAGACCGGAGCUCAACUCCGUGUUUGUGCUCAAAACUGUCUUGCUAGAAUUAGGGAGAGGUAAGCGGAAUUCUAAGUGUAGGGGUGCAAUCCGUAGAUACUUAGAAGAACACCAAAAGCGAAGGCAGCUUACUGGAACUACAUUGACACUGAAGAACGAAAGCGUGGGGAGCGAAAAGG
rnacentral:rRNA from 1 species